UACGUAGGUGGCGAGCGUUGUCCGGAUUUACUGGGCGUAAAGAGCGCGCAGGCGGCUGGUCAAGUCCGAUGUGAAAGCUCCCGGCUUAACUGGGAAAUUGCAUCGGAAACUGAUCGGCUGGAAGGUGGGAGAGGGUAGCGGAAUUCCCGGUGUAGAGGUGAAAUUCGUAGAUAUCAGGAGGAACACCGGUGGCGAAGGCGGGUCUCUGGGCCGAUACUGACGCUGAGGAGCGAAAGCGUGGGGAGCGAACAGG
rnacentral:rRNA from 1 species